UACGUAGGGGGCAAGCGUUGUCCGGAAUCAUUGGGCGUAAGCGCGUGUAGGCGGCCCGGUAAGUCCGCUGUGAAAGUCCAGGGCUCAACCCUGGGAUGCCGGUGGAUACUGUCGGGCUCGAGUCCGGAAGAGGCGAGUGGAAUUCCUGGUGUAGCGGUGAAGUGCGCAGAUAGUCAGGAGGAACACCGAUGGCGAAGGCAGCUCGCUGGGACGGUACUGACGCUGAGACGCGAAAGCGUGGGGAGCAAACAGG
rnacentral:rRNA from 1 species